CAGCAUACGCGGUUAUACAAUAAAUACUAUUUAAUAUUUUUGGUUAAAUUUAAGUUAAGAUUAUUUUAUUGAGAUUAAUUUUAAUAUUUUUAGGUGAAAUUUAAAUUUUAAUUAUUUUUUUUAUUGAUUCUUUGAAAUUUAAAGUUUAAACUAGGAUUAGAUACCCUAUUAUUUUGAAUGUAAAAAAAUUACCAGGGUAGUAAUAGUUAUGUUCUUAAAACCCAAAGAAUUUGGCGGUGUUUUAGUCUAUUCAGAGGAAUUUGCCCUAUAAUCGAUAAUCCUCGUUAUAUCUUACUUUUAAUAGUAUUUCAAUUUGUAUACCGCCGUUAUAAGUUUAUUUUAUUAGGAAUUAUUAAUUUACUUUAAAUAUAAUUUUGUAUUAUUUCA
rnacentral:rRNA from 1 species